rnacentral:lncRNA from 1 species
UCCGAUACAACGAGUUGGAAGCUGGUAUAAAAUCCAGAGAGCAGCUGCCUGAAAGUUCCAGUAACACCGGGGCCAAUAUAUUGCCUGCUCAAGUUGAACCUCAUAAUCAAACCAAGAUAGCAGAUCCUCCAGAAGGGCCUGCUCAAGUUGAACCUCGUAAUGAAACCAGGAUACCAGAAGGGCCUGCUCAAGUUGAACCUCGUAAAGAAACCAAGACAGCAGAUCCCCCAAAAGGAGAGAGUGCUGAAUUUAGCAGCCAGAAGAAUAUCGACGAGCGAGAAUCCAGUUGAAGCACAGU